GAAUAUGAGAAACAGAGAGACAUGGUUUAAAGUAUCAGGCGGUGGCUUCAUCCACUCAAACGCACACCUACAGAAAGCCAUCAACACCGUUACCAUCAGAUUGAGAGAUACGGAGAUAGAGAGAGGCAGUCCAUAAGGCGCACAGGAGUAGAGAUUGAGGAAGAGAAAACUCGGUGCCAUUAACACGUUAACAUUGGAUCGUCGGAACUACCAUCUUGAUAUCCAGUUUCCACGAAGAAGAAGGAGAUAGAAGUGCUGAAAGUAGAGUUAGUGUUGCCAACCCAUCUUUGUUUCAAGCAAAUCCAAAGGCAGGCACUAGAAACAUCUGAAGCAAAUCUUUCAGGCCUAGAAUUAGAAGAAUUUCCCUCCUUAAGAACCACCUGUAAGUU